GAAGGCUGGAACGUUGGAGGGGGAGCGAGAGGGGAAGUGUUCGUCCAUGAAAGCCUGACGACAUCUGAGCAGCUAACCGCGCGGCGGAUUCUCGAUUCUGCACUGAGUAGUGCCUCCGCAUCCGUGAAGCCUCCCUUUGCUGCCCUGCCUGGGCUCUGUGUGUCCACAGCUCGGAGCUUGAAACGGGUUCGGACCUGACGUGUUCCACCUGAAACCGAGCAGCGUAAGCAUCUGACAGCUGGGGCAGCCGGAAGCCGGGGCAGGAACUAUCCGAAAGAUCGCUCGCUCACUCACACGGCUGAUGGCUGACACUGGCUGUUGGGUAAG